AGUGAACGCUGGCGGUAGGCCUAACACAUGCAAGUCGAACGGCAGCACAGUAAGAGCUUGCUCUUACGGGUGGCGCGUGGCGGACGGGUGAGGAAUACAUCGGAAUCUACUUUUUCGUGGGGGCUAACGUAGGGAAACUUACGCUAAUACCGCAUACGACCUACGGGUGAAAGCAGGGGAUCGUCGGACCUUGCGCGAUUGAAUGAGCCGAGGUCGGAUUAGCUAGUUGGCGGGGUAAAGGCCCACCAAGGCGACGAUCCGUAGCUGGUCUGAGAGGAUGAUCAGCCACACUGGAACUGAGACACGGUCCAGACUCCUACGGGAGGCAGCAGUGGGGAAUAUUGGACAAUGGGCGCAAGCCUGCUCCAGCCAGACCGCGUGGGUGAAGAAGGCCUUCGGGUUGUAAAGCCCUUUUGUUGGGAAAGAAAAGCAGCAGGUUAAUACCCCGCUGUUCUGACGGUACCCAAAGAAUAAGCACCGGCUAACUUCGUG
rnacentral:rRNA from 1 species